rnacentral:lncRNA from 1 species
AUGGAGAAGAUGAUCUGCAGGAUCCUGCUGCUCAUCAUCCUCACCUCAUGUGUCUCUGGAUCAUUUGUAGUCAAUGUGACACAGACCUCCUAUCAGGCAGAGGAGAACCACAACAUCACACUGGAGUGGACGUUCACCACCAAACCUGACAGAGUGACAUGGAGCCUUCAUGUGCUCCAUGAUAAUGCAGCACAUGAAGGCUACAGAUGGCAGCCUUGGAGCUUUGCAGGCACGAAUAGAGGAGCUUGUCGUCAUCAUCAGAAUAACAAAAAGAGGCGACACAGAAUUCGCAAGGUCAUCUUAGAUGAGAAGAAACGCUUGGCGGCUGCUGUUGACGACUACAACAAGCGUGCUGAACCAACAAAGCAAAUCGUAUCCAGUGAUGCCCUCAUCCAGACCGAUAUUUGGCCCUGGCAGAGCACAAGUGAACCUGCUGCAGACCUGGAGACAAAGAGAAAGGUCUUUGAGAAGGUGAUGGCUGUGAGGUGCCUGAGAGAGGAGGAGAUGAUCCUUUGCAGGGAGAUGCGGCAUCACUGGACAGUGUUGCGAAUGCGAUCUGUGGAGUUGGGGACAAUCUCCUCAGACUGUAAGCACAUCUUUUAUUUAUUUAUAAAUUUUUUGAUGACUUGAUUGAAAAUAACAGCAGAUGCUAAAGUCUUAAUGGAUCUUUUAGCUAUAUCUAGGUUGCUAGCUAACAAAAAAAAAAGUUUAAUUAAAGGAUCCUAAUUCCUUGUGUUUAUGAGGUAAGUUUUUGUUUUUUAUACUUCACACUUAUUUAUUUGUUUUGUUAUUUUUACAGCCUCCCUUGUUGGCAUGUCAGAGGAUGCACAGAAGGGACUCUGUAGCCUGGUUUGAAAAAAAAAACAAAACAAAGUGAACUGAAAGCUAAAAUGCUCAAAGUAAAGGACGUGUACAAGAGAAUCCUCAGCCACCAACCACUCCUGGAAAUGGACUCAGAGGAGGAGGACGACAUUCCAGAUGAAUGUCAAAUCACUCUCUUCCAGAUGAGAGUGAUUUGAGCACUUCAUUGAUAUUAUGUUUGGUAAAAUAAAAAGUUAAUCACAUCUCUGUUUAAUGUGAUUUUUACAAUGUCUGUUUUAGAAAUUGCUGUUUUAGAAAUUUUACAUGUUGAGAAGAAAGAUGGAAUUCCCUUGGUUCAGUUGUUUACCCUGAAUACUUCUUUCCCAUCUAAUUUAAUGACUAGUGUACAUGUUCAGAUACAAUAACAUAAUUUAAUUCAUGGAAUGCUUUCUGUGCUGCUCAAAUUAUCACAAAAUUUAAAAGCACCAGGCAGCACACUCACAAG